CGCCAGCUGCCGAUCGGGGCAGUUGAAGGACCAAUCGGGGUCAGUGAA
rnacentral:sRNA from 12 species